CCUACGGGAGGCUGCAGUGGGGAAUAUUGGACAAUGGGCGCAAGCCUGAUCCAGCCACGCCGCGUGAGUGAUGAAGGCCUUCGGGUCGUAAAGCUCUGUGGGGAGGGACGAACCGCCGGAUGUGCAUAGCAUCCGGCAUGACGGUACCUCCUUAGCAAGCACCGGCUAACUUCGUGCCAGCAGCCGCGGUAAUACGAAGGGUGCAAACGUUGCUCGGAAUUAUUGGGCGUAAAGCGCACGUAGGCGGCUUCGCAAGUCCCAUGUGAAAGCCCACG
rnacentral:rRNA from 1 species